GAUGAACGCUGGCGGCGUGCCUAAUACAUGCCAGUCGAGCGAACAGACGAGGAGCUUGCUCCUCUGACGUUAGCGGCGGACGGGUGAGUAACACGUGGAUAACCUACCUAUAAGACUGGGAUAACUUCGGGAAACCGGAGCUAAUACCGGAUAAUAUAUUGAACCGCAUGGUUCAAUAGUGAAAGACGGUUUUGCUGUCACUUAUAGAUGGAUCCGCGCCGCAUUAGCUAGUUGGUAAGGUAACGGCUUACCAAGGCGACGAUGCGUAGCCGACCUGAGAGGGUGAUCGGCCACACUGGAAUUGAGACACGGUCCAGACUCCUACGGGAGGCAGCAGUAGGGAAUCUUCCGCAAUGGGCGAAAGCCUGACGGAGCAACGCCGCGUGAGUGAUGAAGGUCUUCGGACCGUAAAACUCUGUUAUUAGGGAAGAACAAAUGUGUAAGUAACUAUGCACGUCUUGACGGUACCUAAUCAGAAAGCCACGGCUAACUACGUG
rnacentral:rRNA from 1 species